rnacentral:rRNA from 1 species
UGGCGGCGUGCCUAAUACAUGCAAGUCGAACGGUCUUUCUAUGGAAGCUUGCUUCCACUGAGAAGAUAGUGGCGAACGGGUGAGUAACACGUGGGUAACCUGCCCAUAAGAGGGGGGAUAACAUCCGGAAACGGGUGCUAAUACCGCAUAGUUUUCUUGAUCGCAUGAUCGGGAAAGGAAAGACGGCCUUUGUGCUGUCGCUUAUGGAUGGACCCGCGGCGUAUUAGUUAGUUGGUGAGGUAACGGCUCACCAAGACGAUGAUACGUAGCCGACCUGAGAGGGUGAUCGGCCACAUUGGGACUGAGACACGGCCCAAACUCCUACGGGAGGCAGCAGUAGGGAAUCUUCCGCAAUGGACGAAAGUCUGACGGAGCAACGCCGCGUGAGUGGAAAGAAGGUUUUCGGAUCGUAAAACUCUGUUGUCAGAGAAGAACAAGUUGGAGAGUAACUGCUCCAGCCUUGACGGUAUCUGACCAGAAAGCCACGGCUAACUACGUGCCAGCCGCGGC